GGAAAACCGAAAAACCUUUCGUAAGAUGUCCUGUGAUUCACCCUUACACAACAUUUAUUUUUGUUCUGAAGCAUUCAGAAAGUCGUAAGAUGGCGUCUCCGGGCCAGCAGGAUGUGAAAAGAGGCAUCUCUGCCAUCUGGGAAAACCUGCAGUGCCCCAUCUGUUUGGAGCUGAUGAGUAUGCCUGUGACGACGAAAUGUGAUCACCAGUUUUGCAAGUUCUGCAUGCAGAAGCUCCUAGAUCGUGGUAAGAGGCAGGAGGCCAGCUGUCCUGUCUGCAAAACCAAAAUCACCAAACGGAGUCUUCAGGAGAGUGCAGUGUUCCAACGUCUUGUUUCUGGCUUGCAGUCGCUAGUGGAGGCCUACCAACACGACAGCUCCACUAACUAUUUCACUGGGCAAGCGCAGACCAAGAACCCGAUG